UACGUAGGGUGCAAGCGUUAAUCGGAAUUACUGGGCGUAAAGCGUGCGCAGGCGGCUUUGCAAGACAGAUGUGAAAUCCCCGGGCUCAACCUGGGAACUGCAUUUGUGACUGCAUGGCUAGAGUACGGUAGAGGGGGAUGGAAUUCCGCGUGUAGCAGUGAAAUGCGUAGAUAUGCGGAGGAACGCCGAUGGCGAAGGCAAUCCCCUGGACCUGUACUGACGCUCAUGCACGAAAGCGUGGGGAGCAAACAGG
rnacentral:rRNA from 1 species